rnacentral:rRNA from 1 species
GUGGGGAAUCUUCCGCAAUGGACGAAAGUCUGACGGAGCAACGCCGCGUGAGUGAAGAAGGUUUUCGGAUCGUAAAGCUCUUUCGUUAGGGACGAACGUGCUCUUUGUGAAUAAUGAGGAGUAAUGACGGUACCUAAAUAAGAAGCCACGGCUAACUACGUGCCAGCAGCCGCGGUAAUACGUGGGUGGCAAGCGUUGUCCGGAAUUAUUGGGCGUAAAGCGCGCGCAGGCGGGAUAUCAAGUCUGUCUUAAAAGUGCGAGGCUCAACCUCGUGAGGGGACAGAAACUGGUAUUCUUGAGUGUCGGAGAGGAAAGUGGAAUUCCAAGUGUAGCGGUGAAAUGCGUAGAGAUUUGGAAGAACACCAGUGGCGAAGGCGACUUUCUGGACGAUGUCUGACGCUGAGGCGCGAAAGCUAGGGGAGCGAACGGGAUUAGAUACCCCAGUAGUCC